rnacentral:rRNA from 1 species
UACAGAGGUCUCAAGCGUUGUUCGGAUUCAUUGGGCGUAAAGGGUGCGUAGGCGGCGCGGUAAGUCGGGUGUGAAAUUUCGAGGCUUAACUUCGAAACUGCAUUCGAUACUGCCGUGCUUGAGGACUGGAGAGGAGACUGGAAUUUACGGUGUAGCGGUGAAAUGCGUAGAUAUCGUAAGGAAGACCAGUGGCGAAGGCGAAUCUCUGGACAGUUACUGACACUGAGGCACGAAGGCCAGGGGAGCAAACGGG